GACGAACGCUGGCGGCGUGCCUAACACAUGCAAGUCGAACGGAUCAGUGCUUCGCACUGAUAAUUUGAGGGACGGAGCCCUCAAACCCCGAAGAAAAUUUACAAGAUGCUGACUGAGUGAAUUUUUAUCCGGAACCUCCCGGAAAGGGUUCCUCGCUAGAAAGUUAUGUUUUAAAGAUCUUCAGGGGUUUUGGGGAUAGAGCCCCCAAAAUACCAGUGCGGAGCACUGGUUAGGGCGAACGGGUGAGUAACGCGUGGGUAAUCUACCCUGUAAGUGGGGGAUAACCCUCCGAAAGGAGGGCUAAUACCGCAAAUAUCUUCACCUCAUAAAGAAGAGAAGAUUAAAGAUGGCCUCUUUAUAUGCUAUCACUUCAGGAUGAGCCCGCGUCCUAUUAGUUAGUUGGUAGGGUAAUAGCCUACCAAGACCGCAAUGGGUAGCCGGUCUGAGAGGAUGUACGGCCACACUGGGACUGAGAUACGGCCCAGACUCCUACGGGAGGCAGCAGUGGGGAAUAUUGCGCAAUGGGGGAAACCCUGACGCAGCGACGCCGCGUGGACGAUGAAGGCCUUCGGGUUGUAAAGUCCUGUUCUGGGGGAAGAAACCUUAAGGGUCCAAUACACCCUUAAGUUGACGGUACCCCAAGAGAAAGCUCCGGCUAAUUAUGUGCCAGCAGUCGCGGUAAUACAUAAGGAGCAAGCGUUGUCCGGAAUUAUUGGGCGUAAAGAGCUCGUAGGCGGUCUUAAAAGUCAGGUGUUAAAUUAUCAGGCUCAACCUGAUAAAGUCAUCUGAAACUCUAAGACUUGAGGGUAGAAGAGGAAAGUGGAAUUCCCGGUGUAGCGGUGAAAUGCGUAGAUAUCGGGAGGAAUACCAGUGGCGAAGGCGGCUUUCUGGUCUAUCUCUGGCGCUGAGGAACGAAAGCUAGGGGAGCAAACGGGAUUAGAUACCCCGGUAGUCCCAGCCGUAAACGAUGGAUACUAGGUGUGGGAGGUAUCGACCCCUUCUGUGCCGCAGCUAACGCAUUAAGUAUCCCGCCUGGGGAGACGGUCGCAAGGCU
rnacentral:rRNA from 1 species